CGGGAUAUAGCUCAGUCAGGUAGAGUACACGUCUGGGGGGCGUGGGGUCGUGAGUUCAAGUCUCACUAUCCCGA
rnacentral:tRNA from 1 species